GCCGUGGGAGAAGGACUUAGAGAAAACCUUGAAGGCAGGCGGAGAGCAAAAGACCGUGAUGCCUCACAGCCAAGGCCACACGGCUCCAGAACCAAGACAAGGGCGAGCCCCAGCCGGGACUGAUACGGGAGGCCGAAGGGAACGCAAGAAUCUAAGUUGAUUGCCAAACCAUACAAUCCAGAAGCUCUGAGGCUCUCCUGGGCCUGCUGUUGAAUUUCUAAGGAGUUUGCCUUGGAAGAAUCAGACAGCAGGAUGGACUUGGGAGGACACCUAGUGGCAGAGAGAACAAGAGGAAGGACCCUCAACAAGAAGCUGUCCCAAAGAAGUGUGGAAUGCCUCAGCCACCCAGGCCUGUCUUCACAGAGUGCAUAGAAAGGAUGUGAAGACACUCGUGAACCAUGAAGUGCUACACACAUGUUUCUGGUCAUUAUCUUACUAAGCACUGUAAAGGCAGUAGUUGCCUUAGGCAGAGCUAGAAUCCUUCCCAGUUUGGCCCCUUGCUGGCUGAGAGACCUCAGGCGAGGUCCUGAACUCUCCAGGUGUCUGUCUGUUUACUAUAGAACAUCAGCUUCUUAAACUCAGUUUGACCAUUGUGGUUCACAACAGCAUGCACCACACAAGGCAUAUAGCUGGCAUUCAGAACGGA
rnacentral:lncRNA from 1 species